UACGUAGGGGGCAAGCGUUGUCCGGAAUCAUUGGGCGUAAAGCGCGUGUAGGCGGCCCGAUAAGUCCGCUGUGAAAGUCCAGGGCUCAACCCUGGGAUGCCGGUGGAUACUGUCGGGCUCGAGUCCGGAAGAGGAGUGUGGAAUUCCUGGUGUAGCGGUGAAAUGCGCAGAUAUCAGGAGGAACACCGAUUGCGAAGGCAGCUCGCUGGGACGUCACUGACGCUGAGACGCGAAAGCGUGGGGAGCAAACAGG
rnacentral:rRNA from 1 species